rnacentral:rRNA from 1 species
GGGAGGCAGCAGUGGGGAAUAUUGGACAAUGGGGGGAACCCUGAUCCAGCCAUGCCGCGUGUGUGAAGAAGGCCUUUUGGUUGUAAAGCACUUUAAGCGAGGAGGAGGCUACCGAGAUUAAUACUCUUGGAUAGUGGACGUUACUCGCAGAAUAAGCACCGGCUAACUCUGUGCCAGCAGCCGCGGUAAUACAGAGGGUGCAAGCGUUAAUCGGAUUUACUGGGCGUAAAGCGCGCGUAGGUGGCCAAUUAAGUCAAAUGUGAAAUCCCCGAGCUUAACUUGGGAAUUGCAUUCGAUACUGGUUGGCUAGAGUAUGGGAGAGGAUGGUAGAAUUCCAGGUGUAGCGGUGAAAUGCGUAGAGAUCUGGAGGAAUACCGAUGGCGAAGGCAGCCAUCUGGCGUAAUACUGACACUGAGGUGCGAAAGCAUGGGGAGCAAACAGGAUUAGAUACCCUGGUAGU